GGCGAACGGGUGAGUAACACGUGGGUAAUCUGCCCUGCACUCUGGGAUAAGCCUGGGAAACUGGGUCUAAUACUGGAUAUGACCUUUCUCCUUAUGGGGUUUGGUGGAAAGUUUUUCGGUGUAGGAUGAGCCCGCGGCCUAUCAGCUUGUUGGUGGGGUGAUGGCCUACCAAGGCGACGACGGGUAGCCGGCCUGAGAGGGUGAUCGGCCACAUUGGGACUGAGAUACGGCCCAA
rnacentral:rRNA from 1 species